CACAGUAAUGCUAAGUUCAUUGUAAGAAUAAGGUCCACAUGAGCUUGAAGAUCUUGUAGUAUCUUGCGUAGUUUUUCCAACAUAAAAUCCUGGUUCAUUGGGUGAAGGCAAUGGACCAUCACUCCCCAACAUCACGAUCACAGACGUCAUAGUCGGUCUAUCUUCUGGGUUACGUUGAACACACAACAAAGCAACAUGGAUUGAUCGUAGAACCUGAGAGACACUGAUUGAUUCACUUAGAGAUUUAUCAACUAGUUGCAAGGAUUUGCCUUCAUUAUAGAGUCCCCAUGCCUGUCAAAAGCAAAGAACACAUGCAUAAUUGUUUCAAAAGCUUUAUACUCUUUCAUUCAAACUAAAAAACCAAAGUUAUUUUACCCUUUCAUACGGUUUGCAAAUUCAAAAUAGAAAGGUCCAAACUUACAUGUCCAAUAAGGUUGUUGCAAUGUUCUUUGUGGACGAAUCCUCUAUUUUUAUCCCCACACACAAUUUCCAGCACCAACACGCCAAAGCUAUAUACAUCUGAUUUAAUUGAAAAGACGCCACCUCCUGCAUACUCUGGCGCCAUGUAGCCACUAUGGGGAAUCAAGUCAGUGUAAGAGAUUCAAUAAAUACAUUGAAAUGAGUUUAGGAUUGUUAAAUCUCACUAUGUUCCAACCACUUUGCUUGUCUUUGCCUCCAUUUGGUUGCCACGAAAAGUUCUCGCUGUGCCAAAAUCUGAUAUCUUGGGGUUCAUAUUUUUGUCAAGCAAAAUAUUGCUAACUUUUAGAUCUCUGUGUAUGAUUCUGAGCCGAGAAUCCUGAUGAAGAUAAAGAAGUCCGCGAGCAACUCCGAUGAUAAUGUGGAAUCAAGGCCUUUGUUUGGCAUGUAUUCAUAAACCAGCAUCACUUCGUCUCCUUCUAUGCAGCAGCCCAAUAAUUUAACGAGAUUUCGAUGUUGUAGUUUUGAUAUCAAGAUGACUUCAUUCUUGAACUCAUGAAGUCCUUGGGUGGAUGUUUUUGCUAGCCGCUUUACUGCUAUUUCCUUCCCGUCUUCGAGUACACCCUGAAACAUAAAUCCCGAUGAUAAUGUGGUAACGUGCAGACCAGUCAAGUUGUUUAGAUCUUCAAGAUUACAUGUUUUAUGCUAAGAAUCAUCGUUUAGUAACACAUGAACACCGCCGUCCGCCUGCAUUACAUAGAAUUAGGGUCAUGGAGUGAUAUAUACCUUGUAAACAGGUCCAAAACCACCCUCUCCAAGUUUGUUGUAUGCUGAAAAGUUGUUUGUAGCUUUAAGUAUUGUAGACAAGCUAAAUAGUGGUAGCUCUAGAUCUUCAUCACCGCUUCCAUUUUCAGGAUCAUGUCUAAACUUGUUACUGGAUGUCCCUGUGAAGUGGACAAGCACAGCUUUGGUUCAAUGAACUUGUAACACUGUUAAACUGGUACAUAUACGUAUUUUCCCAACAUCAGAUUUUUUAUUUAAUAACUUGUUACACGGAUAUGAUUACAUGUUUCUAUUAUUUACGCAAGUCAAUAAAUAUUUCUUUUGUUGUGUCACAAAAAUAAAACAUAACUUGAGCCGACCUAUUCAUAAAUACACAACUAUUUGGUAAACAAACUCCAUACCUUGUUGCUGCUGCUUCUUCCUAUUAUAACGAUAAAAUAGGCAUAUUGAAACUAGCAUGAUCAAAGCUACAAAUGCCACGGGGACAAUAACUCGUACUCUGCUCCCUGCACUUGACCUUUUAUUGUUUUUUACCGAAUCUGCGUGAAAACAUAAUGUUCAUUUGAUAUUUUGACAUAUAAUAAAGAAGACAGUAAUGAAAAAAAAAAAAAAAAACUAAUGUUUUGAUCUACCUAGCUCUGAAGGUGGCAUUCGUAUAUAAAGAGUGUCCCCUGUAUCUGCAAACGUUCUGAUAUCAAUCAAGUCACCGAACCAAAGCAAGCAACCACCUCCAGAGCCUGAUAUAUUUGCAUUUGUGUAAGCAGUACAAGAACAAUUGCUUUUACACAUCUUCUCACACUCUACAAGGGUCAUCUUCAGGUUAUACCAUGACCCCUGAGUGUCUGGUAACUUUAGAUUUGAGUAUUUGUUGAACCCCUCCCCAUUUUCACAAUCCAAAAGGACAGUACGUCGACACCCUUGUGACCAAUCUCCAACUGUCCACUGAUCAGGAGAUGUGGGUUCAAAUCCCUUCAAACAUUCACAAACUGGGGACUGGUUGAUGUUGCAGCUCGCAUAUGGCCCACACACCGAGUAUUGAUCACAGUGGUCGAUUUCUGAGGUUAAAUAAAGGAUCCAUUCUUUUUUGCUAUCAAUCCAUAAUAAGCGCUCUAUACGACCAUUUGGUUGUAACACCAACCUCGUAAAAAUCGAACUAUUUUUCAGAUUGUACUGGUAGUAAAUUUCUUUGUCAUUAAGAACAAAGGUGAAGUUGUAAAUUGGGUUUGGUCUCAAAUUAGGACCUCCACUAAACCUGAGUCCAUUCCAGGGACCUUCCCGGAACAUUAUUUCCUUGCCUUCUGUUUGGAUCAGCUGAGGGUAACCUCUGAUAUCAACCCCUGCAGAAAACUCACCCGAAGCAGGAUCAUCGUUGGACUUCCUUGACGUGUAGCGCCUUUCCAUCCGGGUAACCAAAUCCCACCCUGCCUUCAUUCCUGGAAGAACGGUGUCUGUCAGAAAGUCAAAACUUUGCCAUAUGGGAUUUUCUUGAUUCGUGUGGUCACCUUCGUAAAUUAUAAAGUUGCCAGUAUCUAAAAGCUGACCAAUAGGAUUCCUCACUGAUGUCGUUGAUGAGUUCGCUGACGACCAUAUGACAUUCCUUGUGGUAGCAUCCCGGAUAACUAAAACUCCCUGGAGUGUGAGAGUUAGCUCGCCAGAGGUAUUGCUGACUGGUGUGUUCCUGUUGGCUACCCAUACAACAGUUCCAGUGGAUAUUUUUUUGUACCAAAUUCCGACAUAAUGGUUAGUGGAGUUAGGGGGGCUGAAGAAACCAAGUUCGAAGGUUUCGUUGGGGGAAACAAUGGUUUCAUUAUAUCUAACGAUUUGGUUGGCAGAUAUGGUGUCUGCAGCAUGGGUAAGAGGUAUUGAUAGAUAAAGUGCAAGGAAGCCAAAGAUCAACCUGAUCUUGGUCAUUCUUCUUCACUGCAUUACCAAGUCCAGAAGCUAAAAAGAAAACUCCAUUUUAGUUGAUUUAACAAACUAAACGUCAAUUUUGGUAGGCGUUUUAUUCCUGGAAGGUACCAUUUUAUUUCUUUUAAAAGGGUCUUUUGUUUUAUUUUCAUUUUUUCAACCUUUCAUACUCAUAGUAAAUUAAUAUCAUCGAGUAGAGAAUUUUAGACUAUUUAAGUAAUUUUUUUGUUUCUUAUUCAACACUUUUCAUACUCAUAAUAGUAAAUUAAUAUCAUCG
rnacentral:lncRNA from 1 species